GUGAAUGAAAAACGGAAGGAAACUUCACAGGCUGCUCGGAGCGGGGGGGGGGCAGAGGGGAACCGCGAGCGAAUCCACGCAGAACAAAAAAGUCCACGACGCCGCGUGGAAGUGAAAAAAAACAACCCCCGUCGCUCUCGCCGGGUAAGAGGAGACGUCAGGCGGCAGAAGGGAGGUACAAGGCCGCAGACAAUUGCGCCUUCGAUGCCAGAAUCGCCGAGCACAGCGGCGGGCGAAAAAGGUCGGCGCGUCGCCCUGGUCCGAUGACCUUUUCACCGCGCUGCUAUACCUGCCCCGAUGAAAGUGACACCCGCAGGGAUCCUGGUGUCGGGCCUAACGGAGCAGUCUAAUUUCUGGAUUCGUCCAUUAAUCAACGAGAGGAGGUCGGUGAGUGAGAAAGAGACGAUUUACUGCCAUGUGUUGCUCCCAGUGCGUCACUCAAUUGUUAACUGUGGUGCACAACAGAUCUGGUCGGUGUUGUUUUGCGCUGCCGCGGCAAAGAAGUUGUUCUCCGUCAUCUAAUGCGUCGAGGGGGAUCGAUGUGAAGAUACGGGUCGUACAGGAGCUGUGCAGAUUUUGGAAAAAGCAAGAAGUAUUUCAUUUAAUGUGUUGUUUUCCCUGAAAUAAUAAAACUCUUUGGAAAUUGAAA